CCUACGGGUGGCAGCAGUGAGGAAUAUUGGUCAAUGGACGAGAGUCUGAACCAGCCAAGUAGCGUGAAGGAUGACUGCCCUAUGGGUUGUAAACUUCUUUUAUAUGGGAAUAAAAUGUUCCACGUGUGGGCUUUUGUAUGUACCAUAUGAAUAAGGAUCGGCUAACUCCGUGCCAGCAGCCGCGGUAAUACGGAGGAUCCGAGCGUUAUCCGGAUUUAUUGGGUUUAAAGGGAGCGUAGGUGGAUUGUUAAGUCAGUUGUGAAAGUUUGCGGCUCAACCGUAAGAUUGCAGUUGAAACUGGCAGUCUUGAGUACAGUAGAGGUGGGCGGAAUGCGUGGUGUAGCGGUGAAAUGCUUAGAUAUCACGAAGAACUCCGAUUGCGAAGGCAGCUCACUGGACUGCAACUGACACUGAGGCUCGAAAGUGUGGGUAUCAAACAGGAUUAGAUACCCUGGUAGUC
rnacentral:rRNA from 1 species